rnacentral:rRNA from 1 species
CGGACGGGUGAGUACGCGUGGGUAACCUGCCUUAUACAGGGGGAUAACAGUUGGAAACGGCUGCUAAUACCGCAUAAGCGCACGGCAUCGCAUGAUGCAGUGUGAAAAACUCCGGUGGUAUAAGAUGGACCCGCGUUGGAUUAGCUAGUUGGUGAGGUAACGGCCCACCAAGGCGACGAUCCAUAGCCGACCUGAGAGGGUGACCGGCCACAUUGGGACUGAGACACGGCCCAA